GGGCGGAUAGCUCAGCUGUAGAGCGAUUGAUCUGCGGGGUUGCUGCAAGGUCCUUGCCCGCCCACCA
rnacentral:tRNA from 1 species